AGCAGCGGUACAGUGGUAGCGCGCACAGCGUAGCAGUGGUAGCGCCGGCAGCAGUGUAGCGGCCGGCAGCAGUGGUAGCGGCCGGCAGCAGUGGUAGCAGCAGUGGUAGCGGCCGGCAGCAUGUUGGCGGCCGGCAGCAGUGGUAGCAGCAGCAGCGGUAGCAGUAGCCGGUAGCAGUACCAGCAGAUGAGAGCCAUUGGCUCUCUAGCCCUCCCCCCUCCUACACAAUAGAGCUGAUGUCCAUGCAAGACAGACAGACAGACAGACAGACAGAGAGACAGACAGACAGACAGACAGACAGACAGAGGGGGCUUUACUGUGGGUAGCGUUUCCCCCGCCAUACCCUGUCUCCGCUGGAAUGUGAUUAUCUUCACGCACUACGGACUGGAAACACAGAGAAGAGAGGAAGGGAAAGGAGGAAGGAGAGAGAGAGAGAGAGAGAGAGAGAGAGAGAGAGAGAGUAAGAGAGAGAGAGAGAGAGAGAGAGAGAGAGAGAGAGAGAGAGGCAAAAGCAGCUUAGCGCAAGCCUGAACCUGCCUAUGUGUCUGCGAGAGAUAGAGGAACGGAGGGAAUGAGAGCGGGAGGGGAAAGAGGAACGGAGGGAAUGAGAGAGGAAGAGGUUGCUUUUCUCUUCAUUCUGGUUGUUGUGUAACAAGGAGAAGGAUAUCCGAUCAUCUAUGUGAACGGUAGCUGACACACAGACCCAGUCUUGACUAGCAGAAGCCUGGUCUCAGCUCUAAGCAGCAGCCCCAGUGAACGCGGCAGCGGCCCCCGCAGUGCGAGAGUCAGUCAGACAGGUCUGUGUGGGAAGAGUCCCAGUGAGAAGAGCAGGAGGGGUGUCAAUGGAAGAGGCUUGGCCAGCAGGCCCUCACUGCAGCCCAAACCACAAGUGCCUCCGAAGCCAGUGCACCUCCAGAGCCAGGUGACGGUGCCUGCUGGCCCCCUGCUGGCGCUGGGGCGCGUGGAGAGAGGACUCUUCAGAGCCACCAUGGAGGAGGGAGGAGGAGGGGCGGUGACUGGGAAGAGGCGGGAGAAACCCUCCAAAGUCUUGGACCUCAUCAACCACUUUGAGGAGAACAGCCAGUCGGAAAUCAAGAGGGAGGGCUCGCCACUGAAGCAGCUUAGCAAGUCCCCCCUCUGCAGCCGGCUCACCGGUGCUACCAGACAGUCUGAGCCCAAACAACGGACAACAACUUAGGCU
rnacentral:lncRNA from 1 species